GUGGAUUAGAUACCCUGGUAGUCCACGCUGUAAACGAUGGAUGCUAGCCGUCAGCAAGCAUGCUUGUUGGUGGCGCAGCUAACGCAUUAAGCAUCCCGCCUGGGGAGUACGGCCGCAAGGUUAAAACUCAAAGGAAUUGACGGGGGCCCGCACAAGCGGUGGAGCAUGUGGUUUAAUUCGACGCAACGCGAAGAACCUUACCAGCCCUUGACAUGUCCGGACGGUUUCCAGAGAUGGAUUCCUCCUAGCAAUAGGUCGGAACACAGGUGCUGCAUGGUUGUCGUCAACU
rnacentral:rRNA from 1 species